rnacentral:rRNA from 1 species
UGGGGAAUAUUGCGCAAUGGGGGGAACCCUGACGCAGCCAUGNCGCGUGAAUGAAGAAGGCCUUCGGGUUGUAAAGUUCUUUCGGUAUUGAGGAAGGUCGAUGUGUUAAUAGCACAUCAAAUUGACGUUAAAUACAGAAGGAGCACCGGCUAACUCCGUGCCAGCAGCCGCGGUAAUACGGAGGGUGCGAGCGUUAAUCGGAAUAACUGGGCGUAAAGGGCACGCAGGCGGUUAUUUAAGUGAGGUGUGAAAGCCCCGGGCUUAACCUGGGAAUUGCAUUUCAGACUGGGUAACUAGAGUACUUUAGGGAGGGGUAGAAUUCCACGUGUAGCGGUGAAAUGCGUAGAGAUGUGGAGGAAUACCGAAGGCGAAGGCAGCCCCUUGGGAAUGUACUGACGCUCAUGUGCGAAAGCGUGGGGAGCAAACAGGAUUGGAUACCCUGGUAGUCCACGCUGUAAACGCUGUCGAUUUGGGGGUUGGGGUUUAACUCUGGCGCCCGUAGCUAACGUGAUAAAUCGACCGCCUGGGGAGUACGGCCGCAAGUU